UACAGAGGGGGCAAGCGUUGUUCGGAAUUACUGGGCGUAAAGGGCGCGUAGGCGGCCUGUUAAGUCGAACGUGAAAUCCCCGGGCUCAACCCGGGAACUGCGUCCGAUACUGGCAGGCUUGAAUUCGGGAGAGGGAUGCGGAAUUCCAGGUGUAGCGGUGAAAUGCGUAGAUAUCUGGAGGAACACCGGUGGCGAAAGGCGGCGAC
rnacentral:rRNA from 1 species